AUGGACUCAUGGUGUCACCGCAAGUCCUCGCAAUCCACCAGGCAACGGCAGCACGCUUCCCAUGACUCUAGAAAACUGCAGCUCCUCUUGAUUAGCUGCAGUUUCACACCAUUGAUUUAUCAGAGAGCUACGAUUGAACAAAAGCGACUACUCAGAAGAAGAACCUCCAGAAUGGCGCCAAAGGAGGGCCUCCUCUUUGAUACAAGCCACCAGCAGAAAAAUAGGCAUCUGGAUUCCGUAUUAGUCGCUUUGGGAAAACUAAACAGACAGCACAACAUUUCACAUGCCUCCCACUUAGCCUUUGCUCUUGUGCAGCUCAUCUCCUUUAUUGCAGAUGCACAUGCAAAAUUUGUGAUGAAAAAUAUUACACAGGUACAGUCAUUAAGUGGAACUGAAUAUUCAGAAGAAUAA
rnacentral:rRNA from 1 species